rnacentral:rRNA from 1 species
AAGAGAAAUGGAGGACUAGGAUUUAGAGACCUUCACCUUUUCAAUCUGGCCAUGCUCGCAAGGCAAGCAUGGAGGCUGCUUCAAAAUCCCUCUUCACUCUGUGCACAAUUUCUCUCGGCAAAAUAUUACCCAAACAGUUCAAUCUUGGAGGUAGAAGGGAAAAAUGGCAUCUCGUACACUUGGCGAAGUAUCCUAAAAGGGGUGCAACUUCUGAAAAAAAUGAAUAAUAUGGAGGGUUGGUGA